ensembl:lncRNA
GUUCAUGUAUGGCUAGUUUCCCUGUGAUUGUAGGGUUCAUGUUUGGCUAGUUUCCCUGUGAUUGUAGGGUUCAUGUUUGGUUAGUUUCCCUGUGAUUGUAGGAGCUCCGUUCAUGUUUGGCUAGUUUCCAUGUGAUUGUAGGAGCUCCGUUCAUGUUUGGCUAGUUUCCCCUAUGAUUGUAGGUUUCAUGUUUGGCUAGUUUCCCUGUGAUUGUAGGAGCUCCGUUCAUGUUUGGCUAGGUUCCCUGUGAUUGUAGGAGCUCCGUUCAUGUUUGGCUAGUUUACCUGUGAUUGUAGGGUUCAUGUAUGGCUAGUUUCCCUGUGAUUGUAGGGUUCAUGUUUGGCUAGUUUCCCUGUGAUUGUAGGGUUCAUGUUUGGCUAGUUUCCCUGUGAUUGUAGGGUUCAUGUUUGGUUAGUUUCCCUGUGAUUGUAGGAGCUCCGUUCAUGUUUGGCUAGGUUCCCUGUGAUUGUAGGAGCUCCGUUCAUGUUUGGCUAGUUUCCAUGUGAUUGUAGGAGCUCCGUUCAUGUUUGGCUAGUUUCCCCUAUGAUUGUAGGGUUCAUGUUUGGCUAGUUUCCCUGUGAUUGUAGGGGCUCCGUUCAUGUUUGGCUAGUUUCCCUGUGAUUGUAGGGUUCAUGUUUGGCUAGUUUCUCUGUGAUUGUAGGGUUCAUGUUUGGCUAGUUUCCCUGUGAUUGUAGGAGCUCUGUUCAUGUUUGGCUAGUUUCUCUGUGAUUUCUCCGCUUGACAACUAUUUCCGACUAGUUCCGACAAAACGCCGUACAUCGUAAACCGAGGACCCGUCCGUAACCAGUUCCAACAUGACAACGAAACGCCGUACAUCGUAAACCGAGGACUCGACUGUAACCAGUUCCGACAUAACAAUAAAACACCGUACGUCGUAAACCAAAGACCCGCCCGUAACCAGUUCCGACGUAACAAUGAAACGCCAUAGGUUGAGGACGUCGUAAACCGAGGACCUCCUGUAUAUCCAUUUAAUAAUGAUGUAAUUGUGUGUAAUUGUGAGCAGUUCUGUGACAUUUUGUGUUUUGUGACGUUUUCGUGUCUUUGUGUUGCAGCAGGCUAACAGUGGUGGGAUGUUCGUCGCUCCGCCUCACGACGUUUCCACGUAUCUGAUGGAGUAAACCUGCAGAAGGACGGACGCCUGCAUCGGAACUUCUCCACGGACUGUUCUUGGUUUCAUAUUCUGUUUCAUUUACGUUCUAUAUAUGUUCUAUAUAUAUAAAUAUAUAUAUAUAUCUGUAUACUGUCUGUUUAAAGCUUGUUGCUGUUACUUUAGUGAAGAUACACGAUAAUAACAUGAAGUAUGGAUCCACAAGUGCAUUUACCAGGACGAGCUCUGAGUGGAGCCAGUCCAAACAGCCAAAGAUGUUUUUAUAAGGGAAACCAGAUUUAUCUCCAAGAUUUAGCACCCAAAAGGCAGAUUUUUUAUUCUAGCUAGGUGGAAACAUUUUCUAAAAGAAUUUGUAAUCUUUGUACAAAAGCGUAGAGACUCACUGAAAGUGGGACCGCCAUGCCUUCAAUGAACCUAAUUACAGGUAAAAUAAUGUGUGUUUUAAAUGAGACCCUCAAAGUGGUUGAUGUAAGUGUAUGGAUUUAAUUUGUGCCUUUUUAUAUUUCUUAUAUCCGCUUCGGCUCACUGACGCCCCGAUCCUGUACUGAGCAUUUGCAGUAUAUUAUUGUACUUUUAUGUUUGCCGGUCAGAGAUGCAGAAUGAAGUCUAGUCCCAGAGUUUCACAGCAGCAGUUAGAGCUGAGGAGGCAGAAAUCUGGAAGAAAAAGGCAAAAAUUAACAGAAGAAGUCUGGAAAAAUAAAAGGCCAAAUUAAACAGAAGACGUGAAAAACGGCUGCAUGAACAGGUUUCAUCGGCAGCACAGGACUGAAAGGAACACAAAACUAGACUAGCUGCAGCUGGCAGCGAUUAGCUUCUGUUAGCAGGAAGCUAAAAUGUUUGCAGUUAGCCUCAGCUAGCAGGAAGCUUAACUGUUCGGAGGAAGUUAAAUGUUUAGCAUUUAGCUUCAAUUAGAGACAAGCUAAACUGUUACCAGUUCGCUUCAGAUAGCAGGACGGUAAACUGUUAGCAUUUAGCUUCAGUUAGCAAGAAGGUAAACUUUUUGGAGGAAGCUAAACGUUUAGCAUUUAGCAUUAGUUGGCAGAAAGCUAAACUGUCAGCAGGAAGUUAAAUGGUUUGGAGGAAGCUAAACUGUCAGCAUUUAGCUACAGCUAGCAGAAAGCUAGACUGUUAGCAAGAGAAUGCUAAAACCUUAGCAGGAAGCUGAAUGUUUAGCAUUUAGCUGCAGUUAGCGGGAAGCUAAACUGCAAGAAUUUAGCUUCAGUUAGCAAGUAGGAAAAUUGUUUGGAGGAAGCUAAAUUUUUAGCAUUUAGCUUCCAUUAGCAGGGAGCUUAACUGUUAACAGGAAGUUAAACGGUUAGGAGGAAGCAAAACUGAACAGGAAGCUAAACUGUUAGCAUUUAGCUUCAAUUAGCGGAAAGCUAAACUGUUAACAUUUAGCUUCAGUAAGCAAGAAGGAAAAUUGUUUGGGGGAAGCUAAAUGUUUAGCAUUUAGCUUCCGUUAGCAGGAAGCUUAACUCAACAGGAAGUUGAACGGUUAGGAGUAAGCAAAACUGUUAGCAGGAAGCUAAACUUUUAGCAUUUAGCUUCAAUUAGCGGAAAGCUAAACUGUUCACAUUUAGCUUCAGUUAGCUGGAAGGUAAAUUGUUUGGAGGAAGCUAAAUGUUUAGCAUUUAGCUUCAGAUAGCAGGAAGCUAAACUGUUAGCAAUAAGCCAAAUUAGCCCUUUUUAAAACAGUUUUUAACUUUACAUUUUGAAGCAGUUUCCUGUUAUUUUACAGAUUUUCUCUGUUAUGUUAAAUUACAGAUAAUAUCCAAUAGAAAGAUGUAAAAAUCUGUGAAAUAACGGUAAAGUGUUUUAAGAAUUACAGUUAAAAUCUGUAAAAACUGUUAAUUUUUUUCAGAGAUUAUUGAUAAAAACCUGAAACGCUUUUUUUAAAAAACAAAUCUGUGACGUUUUGAUAGAAAAACGUAAAGAUUUGAACAGUGAAUCUGCAUCUCGUUCUUUAUCUAUUUUUAUUCCUAAUAAACUCUGAGCCGAACACAGUAUAUUAAUAAUAAUAUUCAUGAUAAUUAUAAUCGUCUGAGUUUCCUUCUGGCUGAAAAGCGUCUCAUUAUUAAUCUUCUGCCUUCUUGUAAAUAAAAAGCCGAACUUUAAACAUUAAAGAUGCUCCCUCAGGUUCAUUAAAAUCAUCCUAAACUGCGGAAACAAGGGAAAAGAUUGAACCGGAUCUUCUGCUCCACCGUCGCAGAUCCACCUGAAACUUUAUUGACUCAAACUCUGGAUGUUAAAAUAUUAUCUCUAAGAUUUUAGCUCCAGAAAACAAAAACUGUCUUGACAUCAUUUAUCUGAACUCUUCACCCAGCGACCAACUUUCAGCUGUUUGUUUUAAAUCUGAGUCUGUUUGAAGAACAAAAUCUCAAAAAUUAUUAAAGAUAAAAACCUGAAAUUUCCUGUUAUUUGUCAUCAUGACAAUGAAUGUAGUUAAAUUAUCUCUGAUUGUUGGAGAGUGGAAAUAUGAAAAAAGUAAACAAAAAAAGUCAUGACAGUUUCCAUUUUUGAGCUCAAAUUAACAACAAAUCUGAUAUUUAGAAGUUAACUGGUGAUAUUUUCUGAACCCCAUGUAGCUAAAUAUCACAAUAACACAAAACUAAACAUAGAAAAUGCUUUUAAUACGAAAUAUUUGGUCAUAAAAAUGAAACCAAAGUUAUUUUAGUUGAAUUUUAAUCGCUGAUUGAGCAGAUUUGACAAACCAGAAAAACUGAAAUUUUAUCAGAUAGUUCUGGAGUUUCAAGCUGCUUACUAAUGUUAAAAGUUUUCUAGGUGUUGUUCGAAACCACCACAAAGAGAUGUUAAAUGUCCAGAGUGAGACAUAAAAUGACCAAAGCUACACACAAACUAAACAAACAAAAAAAAAACACAAAAUGUGCAAAAUUACUUGAGAUAUGUCAAAAGUGACUCAUAGCUAGUCCAGAAUUACUGAAAAACUGUCAAGAAUGGUUUAGAAAUGGUCCAGAAUAACUUGAAAUUAGUUUAAAAUGAGAAAAAAAAUUUGAAAAUGAGUCAAAACGUGCAAAACUUUCCCAGAAUGACCUAAAAUUUAUUCAAAAUGAUUCUAAAAUGUCCAAAAUGACGUAAAAAAAAUUAUAAUAAAAAUUGUGGAAAAACUGUUGUAAUUGAGAAAAAAAUGUUGAAAAUGAUUUAAAAUUUGUCCAAAAUGAUGCAAAACUUCUCCAGAAUGACUCAAAAUCUGUCCCAAAUUGCUGAAAAUUUGCCCAAAAGAAUUCAAAAAUGUCCAAAAUUAUGUAAAAUUUUGUGAAAAACGAAUUUACAAACUGUCUAAAGUAAAAAAAAUUGUGAAAAUGACUUAAAAUAUGUCCAAAAUGAUGUGAAGCUUGUCUAGAAUACCUCAGUUUCUCACAAAUAACCUAUAAUUCAUCCCAAAUGACUAAAAAUGUCUUUUUAUUUCAUUUUUAUGACUGAAUAUUUCAUAUUAAAACUUUUCCAUGUGUUCAGCUUUGUCUUAUUGAAUUUUUUUUUGCUGGUUUAAGCUCAAAGACGGAACUUUUCAUGUAAACUUUUAACAGUUUUUUUCAUCUUUCCACUCCCCAAUAAUCAGAGAUAAUUUAAUCAAUAAUUUAGAGUUUAAUUUAUCGUCAUGAUGAGAAAAAACAGGGAAAAUUUAUCUUUAAUUGUUCAAACACUCAGAUUCCUAAAAGCUGCUAAAAGUUGGUCGCCGGGCAGAUUUAAAGGAUUUAUCUCGGAAAAUAGUUUAUAAAUUGAUGUAGAAAUGAACUCAUAUGUCCAUAAAUAUCCAUAUGUUCUGUUGAAUCUGACCCGGUUGAGCAGAAACGUCGUGAAAACGUUCAGUUUAAACGAUCCACACUACAGUCGAACCUGAGCGGCAAUGAUUUGGCAGCUUUUUCCUGCUGCAUUGUGGGAAAUCUCUCAGUAUUUGAACUUUCCUCCGGACUUUGUGGAAAGAACUUGUUUUUCAGGACUGUAGCCACUAAAGAAAACCCUGGAAACCAACGUUGUCCUCUUCCUGCUCGAUGUAAUCCUUUAUUUCGCGGUGGUUCCAGCCUCCAGUAACCAGCAUCUGUUCUGUCAACGCUUUGUUUUAUCCUCAGUAAACGUGUGCAAUCAUUA